rnacentral:rRNA from 1 species
CACGUAGGGCGCAAGCGUUGUCCGGAAUUAUUGGGCGUAAAGAGCUCGUAGGUGGUCUGUUGCGUCCGCUGUGAAAACUCGGGGCUUAACCCCGAGCCUGCAGUGGAUACGGGCAGACUAGAGGUAGGUAGGGGAGAAUGGAAUUCCUGGUGUAGCGGUGAAAUGCGCAGAUAUCAGGAGGAACACCGGUGGCGAAGGCGGAUCUCUGGGCCUGUCCUGACGCUCAGGCGCGAAAGCUAGGGGAGCAAACAGG